UACGUAGGGCGCAAGCGUUGUCCGGAAUUAUUGGGCGUAAAGAGCUCGUAGGCGGUUUGUCGCGUCUGCUGUGAAAACCUAAGGCUCAACCUUGGGCUUGCAGUGGGUACGGGCAGACUAGAGUGCGGUAGGGGGUGACUGGAAUUCCUGGUGUAGCGGUGGAAUGCGCAGAUAUCAGGAGGAACACCGAUGGCGAAGGCAGGUCACUGGGCCGCAACUGA
rnacentral:rRNA from 1 species